ACGAAGGGGGCUAGCGUUGUUCGGAAUUACUGGGCGUAAAGCGCACGUAGGCGGAUUUGUUAGUCAGGGGUGAAAUCCCGGGGCUCAACCUCGGAACUGCCUUUGAUACUGCAAGUCUCGAGUCCGGAAGAGGUGAGUGGAAUUCCUAGUGUAGAGGUGAAAUUCGUAGAUAUUGGGAAGAACACCGGUGGCGAAGGCGGCUCACUGGCUCGUAACUGACGCUCAUGCACGACAGCGUGGGGAUCAAACAGGA
rnacentral:rRNA from 1 species